rnacentral:rRNA from 1 species
CCUACGGGUGGCAGCAGUGGGGAAUAUUGGACAAUGGGGGGAACCCUGAUCCAGCCGUGCCGCGUGUGUGAAGAAGGCCCUCGGGUUGUAAAGCACUUUCAGUGAGGAAGAACGCCUGGUGGUUAAUACCCAUCAGGAAAGACAUCACUCACAGAAGAAGCACCGGCUAACUCCGUGCCAGCAGCCGCGGUAAUACGGAGGGUGCGAGCGUUAAUCGGAAUUACUGGGCGUAAAGCGCGCGUAGGUGGCUUGAUAAGCCGGUUGUGAAAGCCCCGGGCUCAACCUGGGAACGGCAUCCGGAACUGUCAAGCUAGAGUGCAGGAGAGGAAGGUAGAAUUCCCGGUGUAGCGGUGAAAUGCGUAGAGAUCGGGAGGAAUACCAGUGGCGAAGGCGGCCUUCUGGACUGACACUGACACUGAGGUGCGAAAGCGUGGGUAGCAAACAGGAUUAGAUACCCCGGUAGUC